ensembl:lncRNA
UACUGUACCACAUAGCUGUACCACAGAGCUGUACCACAUUACUGUACCACAGAGCUGUACCACAUUACUGUACCACAUAGCUGUACCACGGAGCUGUACCACAGAGUAACAUUCUGUCCACCAACUGGUGCCCAGCCCACAUGGGCUUAUAGGACACCAUAUCAAGUAUCAAAACAUUACAUUAAACAAAUGUAAUGCCUUUAACAAUUAAAUGUGUAAUUAGCAAACACAUGUUCAAAUACAUACAGGUACACAUACUGUACAAAUACAUACAGGUACACAUACUGC